UCUCCUCUCUCGAUCUCCCUCUCCCGAUCUCAACCCGCUCUCUCGAUCUCCCUCUCACUUUCCCUCCCUCUCCCUCGAUCUCCCUUUCCCUCUUCCGAUAUCAACCCUCUCUCUCUGGAUCUCCCUCUCACUCUCCCUCCCUCUCUCGAUCUCCCUCUCCCUGGUUCAAACAGGUACAUCAGCGUGCAGACAGGAUAUUUACAGCUUUAUUUAUGAGUACAUCUGAACAACCUCAUUUUGGUGCGCAAGUCAUCUAAGUCCAAAACAGAUAAGGUUAGGUGGCUUUCCAUUAAUAUAUGAUAUUCCUCAUUAGUUUUCGGAAAGGUAGUGCCUACAGUUUCACCCAGCAAAAGGUAAACAGCAACACAUGUAAUAGACUGUAACUUCCUAUUCACAUUGUUCUCUUUGCUAUAGCUAAAAAAAUUUAUGUUUAUUUUUUCAUUGAUUAACUGCAAUCUUUUAUAGCUU